rnacentral:rRNA from 1 species
UACAGAGGUCCCAAGCGUUAUUCGGAAUCACUGGGCUUAAAGAGUCCGUAGGCGGCAUGUUAGGUGAGGUGUGAAAUCCCACGGCCUAACCGUGGAAUUGCGCUUCAAACCGGCGUGCUAGAGGAAGAUAGAGGUGGGCGGAACUGAUGGUGGAGCGGUGAAAUGCGUUGAUAUCAUCAGGAACACCGGAGGCGAAGGCGGCCCCCUGGGGCACAACUGACGCUGAGGCGCGAAGGCGCGGGGAGCGAACGGG